rnacentral:rRNA from 1 species
CCCUACGGGGCGCACCAGGCGCGAAACCUUUACAAUGCACGCAAGUGUGAUAAGGGAAUCCCAAGUGCUCAUACUAUGUAUGGGCUUUUGCCAAGAGUAAAUAUCUUGGCGAAUAAGUGAUGGGUAAGACUGGUGCCAGCAGCCGCGGUAACACCAGCGUCACGAGUAGGAACCAUAAUUAUUGGGCCUAAAGCGUCCGUAGCCUGCUUGAUAAGUCUUUUGUGAAAUCGUUGGGCUUAACUCAACGCUGUGCAAAAGAUACUGUCAGGCUUGGAACUGGGAAGAGUCAGAGGUAUUCUGGGGGGAGCGGUAAAAUGCUAUAAUCCUCGGAGGGCCACCAGUGGCGAAAGCGUCUGACUAGAACAGCUUCGACGGUGAGGGACGAAAGCCAGGGGAGCAAAACGGAUUAGAUACCCGAGUAGUCCUGGCCAUAAACGCUGUGAGCAAGGUGUCACGUAUCCUUCGUGGAUGCGUGGUGUCGAAAUGAAGAUGUUAAGCUCACCGCCUGGGAAGUAUGGUCGCAAGGCUGAAACUUAAAGGAAUUGGCGGGGGAGCACCACAAGGGGUGCGGCGUGCGGUUUAAUCUAAUUCAACACAGAGAAUCUCACCAGAAGCGACGGCAAGAUGAAGGUCAGCCUAAAGGGCUUACCGGAUGAGCCGAGAGGAAGUGCAUGGCC